rnacentral:rRNA from 1 species
AGAGUUUGAUCCUAGCUCAGAACGAACGGUGACGGCGUGCUUACUACAUGCAAGUCGAGCGGUCUUAGGGGCAACUCUAAGAUAGCGGCGAACGGGUGAGUAAUAUAUAGAUAACCUACCCUUGAGAGUGGGAUAAAAAUCCGAAAGGGUUCCUAAUACCACGUAAGUUAAGAGGGUACCUACCUUAUGAAUGAAAGUGGGGGACCGAAAGGCCUCACGCUUGAGGAGGGGUCUAUAGCCUAUCAGCUAGUUGGCAGGGUAAAGGCCUACCAAGGCGAUGACGGGUAGCCGGCCUGAGAGGGUGUACGGCCACAUGGACACUGAGACACGGGUCCAACUCCUACGGGAGGCAGCAGUAGGGAAUUUUGGGCAAUGGGCGAAAGCCUGACCCAGCGACGCCGUGUGGAGGAUGAAGGUCUUCGGAUUGUAAACUCCUUACACAGACCAAGAAUGCUGGUGGUGUGAACAAUGCCAUCAGAGGGACGAGUCUGGGAUGAAGUCAUUGCUAACUCUGUGCCAGCAGCAGCGGUAAUACAGAGAUGACGACCGUUGUUCGGAAUUACUGGGCUUAAAGAGCACGUAGGUGGUAAGUUAAGUCGGUUGUGAAAGACCAGGCUUUAAGCGUGGGAAGGCAGCCGAAACUGGCGUACUAGAGGACGGUAGGAGAGAGUGGAAUUCCUGGUGGAGCGGUGAAAUGCGUAGAGAUCAGGAGGAACGCCGGAGGCAAAGGCGACUCUCUAGGCCGUAACUGACACUGAGGUGCGAAAGCUAGGGGAGCAAACGGGAUUAGAUACCCCGGUAGUCCUAGCCGUAAACUAUGGGCACUAAGUGGGGGGGGUUACCUCCUCGCCGGAGCGAAAGCAUUAAGUGCCCCGCCUGGGGAGUAUGGCCGCAAGGCUGAAACUCAAAGGAAUUGACGGGGGCUCGCACAAGCGGUGGAGCAUGUGGUUUAAUUCGAUCAACGCGAAGAACCUUACCUGGACUUGACAUGAUGGUAGUAGGGAACCGAAAGGGGACCGACCCUGGGAAACCAGGGAGCCACCACAGGUGUUGCAUGGCUGUCGUCAGCUCGUGCCGUGAGGUGUUGGGUUAAGUCCUAUAACGAGCGAAACCUUUAUCUUAGUUACCAUCGGGUAAUGCCGGGGACUCUAAGGAGACUGCAGGCGUUAAGCCUGAGGAAGGUGGAGAUGACGUCAAGUCAUCAUGGCCUUUAUGUCCAGGGCUACACACGUGCUACAAUGGUCGGUACAAAGGGAAGCGAAGCCGUAAGGUAGAGCCAAUCCCAUAAAGCCGAUCCCAGUUCAGACUGUGGGCUGCAAUUCGCCCACACGAAGUUGGAAUCGCUAGUAAUCGUGGGUCAGCUACACCACGGUGAAUGUGUUCCCGAGCCUUGUACACACCGCCCGUCAAGCCACCGAAGCAAGGGUAGCCUAAAGUCACUGACCCAACCCCGCAAGGGGGGGGAGGUGCCCAAGGAAACCCUUGUGACG